GGAGACGUGCCCGAGACCUUAGGGACUAUUUUGAUAAGAUAGACACAGAGACUACCACCCUCUCGCCUCCC
rnacentral:tRNA from 2 species